CCUACGGGGGGCUGCAGUGGGGAAUAUUGGACAAUGGGGGCAACCCUGAUCCAGCCAUGCCGCGUGUGUGAAGAAGGCCCUCGGGUUGUAAAGCACUUUCAGUGAGGAAGAACGCCUGGUGGUUAAUACCCAUCAGGAAAGACAUCACUCACAGAAGAAGCACCGGCUAACUCCGUGCCAGCAGCCGCGGUAAUACGGAGGGUGCGAGCGUUAAUCGGAAUUACUGGGCGUAAAGCGCGCGUAGGUGGCUUGAUAAGCCGGUUGUGAAAGCCCCGGGUUCAACCUGGGAACGGCAGCCGGAACUGUCAAGCUAGAGUGCAGGAGAGGAAGGUAGAAUUCCCGGUGUAGCGGUGAAAUGCGUAGAGAUCGGGAGGAAUACCAGUGGCGAAGGCGGCCUUCUGGACUGACACUGACACUGAGGUGCGAAAGCGUGGGUAGCAAACAGGAUUAGAUACCCGGGUAGUC
rnacentral:rRNA from 1 species